rnacentral:rRNA from 1 species
ACGGGUGAGUAACGCGUGGUCAACCUACCGUUGAGUGGGGGAGUAACUAGCCGAAAGGUUAGCUAAUACCGCAUACGUCUCCGAGGGGCAUCCCUUGGCGAUAAAAGGAGCAAUCCGCUCGAUGACGGGACCGCGUCCCAUUAGCUAGAUGGUGGGGUAACGGCCUACCAUGGCUCCGAUGGGUAGCUGGUUUGAGAGAGCGACCAGCCACACUGGGACUGAGAAACGGCCCAG